UACGGGGGGGGCAAGCGUUGUUCGGAAUUACUGGGCGUAAAGGGCUCGUAGGCGGCCAACUAAGUCGGAUGUGAAAUCCCCAGGCUUAACCUGGGAACUGCAUCCGAUACUGGAUGGCUUGAAUCCGGGAGAGGGAUGCAGAAUUCCAGGUGUAGCGGUGAAAUGCGUAGAUAUCUGAAGGAAUACCGGUGGCGAAGGCGGCAUCCUGGACCGGCAUUGACGCUGAGGAGCGAAAGCUAGGGGAGCAAACGGG
rnacentral:rRNA from 1 species